AAAGGCUAUCGUCACUUCCGGAAGCGCGAUGCCGCGCUUUCCGGCAGCCGCUCUGGCUUCUGUUUUGUCUUCCAGCUCUCGUUUCUGUGGGUGGGGCUCCUUGUCGGAAUGCGCAGGUGGUUUCUAUCCACGCAUUUUAAACAUGAAGAAGUGGCUGUCAAAGAUAUGGAUAGAUUGUAUUCACGUGUAGUUACGCUUCAGUAUAUUAUGCUGUGGGAAACCAAUCGGGUAUGCUUAGCUUAAUUUCGGUGUCUUAUGCAGACCCAGAAAACUUGUUUGAGAAGACAGUGGCUUCACCAACCAUGGGCAAACGUGUGCGGAAAUGCAUGCUUCAAAUCUAGUAUGGGCCAAGCAAGAUUUCAGAAAAUCCAGUUAACGGUGGAAUCGGAAUGGGACAACUUGCCAGAGCCAACUCGCUGUGGCCAACGCACUACAGGACAACAUGCCACAGGACAAUUUAACAAG